rnacentral:rRNA from 1 species
AAAGGAAGUUGACGGGGGCCCGCACAAGCGGUGGAGCAUGUGGUUUAAUUCGAUGGUACGCGAGGAACCUUACCAGGGCUUGACAUACGUUGGAAGCGCAUCGAAAGGUGCGUGCCGCUUGCGGCCGGCGUACAGGUGCUGCAUGGCUGUCGUCAGCUCGUGCUGUGAAGUGUUGGGUUAAGCCCCGCAACGAGCGCAACCCCUGCUGCCUGUUGCCACCACGAGAGGUGGGGACUCAGGCGGGACCGCCGGUGACAAACCGGAGGAAGGUGGGACGACGUCAAGUCAUCAUGGCCCUUAUGUCCUGGGCUACACACGUGCUACAAUGGCCGGUACAGAGCGCAGCGAGGCCGCGAGGCGGAGCGAAUCGCUUAAAGCCGGUCCCAGUACGGAUUGGAGUCUGCAACCCGACUCCAUGAAGUUGGAAUCGCUAGUAAUCGCGCAUCAGCAUGGCGCGGUGAAUACGUUCCCGGGCCUU